rnacentral:lncRNA from 1 species
GGAGAAGGAGGCGGCGGGACUACCAACCGCCCAGGCAGCCCGGGCCCAACCGCCGCCACGUCUCCUUCCGGAGAGGCCGGCAACACCGCCUCCACCCACUUGGGCCUCCCGCCACCGUUUCCGGGGCAGAGAGCAUAUCAACAUCCGGGGCCGCCGAGCCGUUCGCCUACGGAAGCCGGGACACCGGCCGGGCUGUUCUCGCCUCCCACAACCGCAGUCUCGCGGUGGGGAUCGAACGCGGCGGCCUCCCGGGAGGGGACGCCCGAAGACCCGGCCUUGGAGCAGCCUUUUCGGUGGCGAAGUGGCGGCACGGAGAGCCGCUACUCAAAACGUCAAGGUCAUGAUCUCUCAAAGACUCAAGACUAUUCAGCAAACCUAUCCACUGACAACCAUUGAGAACAAAACUAUCAUUAAUGCCUGAGAACUACAAGACUAUGCCUCAUUUCCUGAUUGCCUCCUUACUGCUGAGGUGUGGCCAAAGCAUCUGACUAGGUUACUCCUACUGAUGAUUGAGGAUCUUGCUUUCUCCCCUACAUGGGACAUGACUCCCAGGAAUGAGCCUUCCUAGCAAUGAGGGAAACACCAAUGUAUCAAAUGGUUGAUCCAAGAUGCUUUCUGCCAAAAGAUUUUGAUCAAAAGGGGAAAAAUGUGGACAAUGAUAACCAAAUGGAGUUAUGUGUCAAGGCUUCUAAAAUGGAGCUGGGAGGCUGUUAAGGAAGUGGGGCUUAUGCACCUAUACAAGGCCCCCUCAACCAGAUGUUGACGGAGCUCUUGAACCUUGCCUGACCGCAGACGUCACAUCCUGGAGUAUUUCCUCUUCCAAGAACAGACAGUCUGCUUGAUACAAUUCAAGGACUAAUCACUCACUGGCAAGUCAGCUUGCUCCUUGCCAGAACUAAUCAUUAAUUUUCAGAACAUCUUAUGUAAGCUUUUGGUUUUUGCUUUUAUGAACCCCUGCCUCUUUUGUCCUCUUUGGAGCACAUUUGAGUUUCUGCUCAAAUCUUUGUCUCCCGAAUUGCAAUUCUUGAGACCCCAAAUAAACUUUUGCUUCUCUUGCA